AUACGGAGGGGGCAAGCGUUGUUCGGAAUUACUGGGCGUAAAGCGCGCGUAGGCGGUUGUGCAAGUCAGAUGUGAAAGCCCUCGGCUCAACCGGGGAACUGCGUCUGAUACUGCUCGACUUGAGUCCGGUAGGGGAUGGCGGAAUUCCCGGUGUAGCGGUGGAAUGCGUAGAUAUCGGGAGGAACACCGAUGGCGAAGGCGGCCAUCUGGGCCGGAACUGACGCUGAGGCGCGAGAGCUAGGGGAGC
rnacentral:rRNA from 1 species